ACUCCUACGGGAGGCAGCAGUGAGGAAUCUUCCACAAUGGACGCAAGUCUGAUGGAGCGACACCGCGUGAAGGAUGAAGGUCUAACGAUUGUAAACUUCUUUUCUGAGGGAGCAUAAUGAGAGUACCUCAGGAAUAAGGACGGCUAAUUACGUGCCAGCAGCCGCGGUAAUACGUAAGUCUCAAGCGUUAUCCGGAAUUACUGGGUGUAAAGGGUUCGCAGGCGGACAUUUAAGUCAGGUAUGAAAGACCGGAGCUCAACUCCGAGUUUGUGCUUGAAACUGAAUGACUAGAAUUAGGAGAGGUAAGCGGAAUUCUAAGUGUAGGGUGGCAAUCCGUAGAUACUUAGAGGAACACCAAAAGCGAAGGCAGCUUACUGGAACUAUAUUGACGCUCAUGAACGAAAGCGUGGA
rnacentral:rRNA from 1 species